rnacentral:rRNA from 1 species
UAAAGCGGCGUACGGGUGAGUAACACGUGGGUAAUCUACCUCUUAGUGGGGAAUAACCCUGGGAAACCGGGGCUAAUACCGCAUAAGCCUGAGAAGGGAAAGCAGCAAUGCGCUGAGAGAGGAGCCCGCGGCCGAUUAGCUAGUUGGUGAGGUAAUGGCUCACCAAGGCGGUGAUCGGUAGCCGGCCUGAGAGGGCACACGGCCACACUGGCACUGAAACACGGGCCAG